UUACGGAAGGCAGCAGUGAGGAAUAUUGGACAAUGGGCGCAAGCCUGAUCCAGCCAUGCCGCGUGCAGGAAGACGGUCCUAUGGAUUGUAAACUGCUUUUGUACGGGAAGAAACACUCCUUCGUGAAGGAGCUUGACGGUACCGUAAGAAUAAGGAUCGGCUAACUCCGUGCCAGCAGCCGCGGUAAUACGGAGGAUCCAAGCGUUAUCCGGAAUCAUUGGGUUUAAAGGGUCCGUAGGCGGUUUGGUAAGUCAGUGGUGAAAGCCCAUAGCUCAACGGUGGAACGGCCAUUGAUACUGCCAGACUUGAAUUAUUAGGAAGUAACUAGAAUAUGUAGUGUAGCGGUGAAAUGCUUAGAGAUUACAUGGAAUACCAAUUGCGAAGGCAGGUUACUACUAAUGGAUUGACGCUGAUGGACGAAAGCGUGGGUAGCGAACAGGAUUAGAUACCCGCGUAGUCCC
rnacentral:rRNA from 1 species